rnacentral:lncRNA from 1 species
CGUUCCUGUCCGCCUGGCAGCCCCUCCUGAUGCUGGGGUUUGAUCCCCCUUCCCGCAGACCGGAAGUCAGGCAGGCCCGACCCCAGGCAGGCCCUCCUCCUCUGAGUUCCAGGCCGCCUCUGGCAGCCUUCCUCUCUGCACUGUAGCCUUUCCCAUCUCUAAAAUGGGAGGCUACACUUUGACCCUCAGUGAAGAGCCUUUCCAGCUCAAUAUUCUAGAAGAAAAUGCGGGAUAGUGACCCAGCAGAAGCACACAAGCUUUCCAAGACAGACCUUCAGAGACCCGGGCUGAGGUUCUUCUCCUCACCAGAGCAAAUGCCCUCUAAAACCAGAGCUGGAGGGUUACACCAAAGGAAUGGCAUUCUAAUGGUGGAAUUUCAGGCAAGGAUGGGGUGGGGACAAGGUGACGAGCUUGACCCAGACUGCUGGGCCUGAGGCGGGGCCGAGCUCCCUUCCCAGGGGUCCCUGCUGCAGGGGCAGCAUGGUCCUGCAGCCUGGGCUCCCGGGUUAAUGAUCUGUGGGCUGAAUCUGGAUGCAGGAGCUGGAGUUCUAUUUAAACGGCUGGGCCCGUGAAUCAGGCCGCAGCAGCUCGAGGAGGGGACAAGUUCCCUCGAAUCUUGGAACGUCUCCGGCUGUGAUGCCAAACGCAGCGCAGCAUCUGGGCUUUCAGAGCCUCCCCACCCCCGGGGAAGGCAGCCUUCGGGGGCAGAAGUGGGCGUGGGGAUGCAGCAGAGAGCUGAGCCCUGAGCUGGAGCAGGACCCCUCCGGCCCCCGUGAGGACCAGGUGGGGAAACCGAGGCCCAGGGAAGGACAGAGACUUUUGAAGCCACACAUCCCAUGGGCAGACAGAGACGGGCCUGGAUCCAGGGCUGUACCCCCGUCUGUCACUGUCCUCCACUUUCGGCCAGAGGAACCAGAAGGCCCAGCACUGAGCAGGAAGGGAGCUGGAAGGCCCCCAUGGAGGCUGCCUCUGGCCAGAGGUCAGGCGUGUGUCCCACGAGCCCCAGUCCAGCCUUGGCCUCAGCACCUCCUGCUUCCCCUGUCCCUGGAGUCUGAAGGCAGGAGCAGCCCGCUAGCUUCUCAGGAUCGCCAUUCCCUCCUCCGGUGCUCCUGUCCCCUCAGCUGGGGCAGGCUCCCCAGAGCAGGGGCUCUCUCCCAACCCCCACCUGCCCAGUGAGGCUGGGAAGGCCCAGCUGAUCGCUCACGAGGCAGCUGGCAGACUGCCCUGAGUGCAGGCUGUGGCCUGGGUUUGGAUCUCAAAUUCCGCCUCUUCCAGGCUGUGUGAACUUGGGCCCUUUCCCUCUCUGAGCCUUUGUUUCCUCAUCUGUAAAAUGGGAAUAAAGACAGAGCUUAU